rnacentral:rRNA from 1 species
ACAGUGGACGCGAGCAUCUUUGUUGUAAGUGUUUAAGAGCGUACGGUGGAUGCCUUGGCACCAGGAGCCGAUGAAGGACGUAGGAGGCUGCGAUAAGCCUCGGGGAGCUGUCAACCGAGCUGAGAUCCGAGGAUGUCCGAAUGGGGAAACCAGCCACAGUGAUGUGUGGUUACCCGCGCCUGAAUAUAUAGGGCGUGUGGAGGGAACGUGGGGAAGUGAAACAUCUCAGUACCCACAGGAAGAGAAACAACAUGUGAUUCCGUGAGUAGUGGCGAGCGAAAGCGGAAGAGGCUAAACCAUGGGUGUGUGAUAGCCGGCGGGCGUUGCAUUCGUGGGGUUGUGGGAUCCGUCUUGUCCAAUUCUGCCGGAUUGGCCGACAGUGAGAAAUCAU